rnacentral:sRNA from 1 species
AGCACUAUGAUGGAGGAGCUGGUGAGCUAGCAUUGUUUGGAAGGCCCUCCCCUCAGGGAGAAGGGGAGGGGCCCAGGUGACGUCUGACGUCUUGGUUCUCUCAGGAGCUGGUGAAACACACGCAGGAGGCGAUGGAGAAGGAGAACCUGCGGCUGGCCCUGGAUGCCAUGAGGGACCUGGCUCAGUGCGUGAACGAGGUCAAGCGAGACAACGAGACACUGCGGCAGAUCACCAAUUUCCAGCUGUCCAUUGAGAACCUGGACCAGUCUUUGGCUCACUAUGGCCGGCCCAAGAUAGACGGGGAGCUCAAGAUCACCUCGGUGGAACGGCGCUCCAAGAUGGACAGGUACGCCUUCCUGCUCGACAAAGCUCUACUCAUCUGUAAGCGCCGGGGAGACUCCUAUGACCUCAAGGACUUUGUGAACCUGCACAGCUUCCAGAUUCGGGAUGACUCUUCAGGAGACCGAGACAACAAGAAGUGGAGCCACAUGUUCCUCCUGAUCGAGGACCAAGGUGCCCAGGGCUAUGAGCUGUUCUUCAAGACAAGAGAAUUGAAGAAGAAG